AAUUUUGGACAAUGGGGGAAACCCUGAUCCAGCCAUCCCGCGUGUAUGAUGAAGGCCUUCGGGUUNUAAAGUACUUUUGGCAGAGANGAAAAGGUAUCUCCUAAUACGAGAUACUGCUGACGGUAUCUGCAGAAUAAGCACCGGCUAACUACGUGCCAGCAGCCGCGGUAAUACGUAGGGUGCAAGCGAUAAUCGGAAUUACUGGGCGUAAAGAGGGGGUAGGCGGUUCGGAAAGAAAGAUGUGAAAACACAGGGCUCAACCAUGGAACUACAUUAUUAACUGCCGGACUAGAGUAUGUCAGAGGGGGGUAGAAUACCACGUGUAGCAGUGAAAAGCGUAGAUAUGUGGAGGAAUACCGAUGGCGAAGGCAGCCCCCUGGGAUAAUACUGACGCUCAGACACGAAAGCGUGGGGAGCAAACAGG
rnacentral:rRNA from 1 species